AGGGGCCAGCGGAGGGACAUUACCGAGUUAUACAACUCAUCAACCCUGUGAACAUACCUAAACGUUGCUUCGGCGGGAACAGACGGCCCCGUAACACGGGCCGCCCCCGCCAGAGGACCCCCUAACUCUGUUUCUAUAAUGUUUCUUCUGAGUAAAACAAGCAAAUAAAUUAAAACUUUCAACAACGGAUCUCUUGGCUCUGGCAUCGAUGAAGAACGCAGCGAAAUGCGAUAAGUAAUGUGAAUUGCAGAAUUCAGUGAAUCAUCGAAUCUUUGAACGCACAUUGCGCCCGCCAGUAUUCUGGCGGGCAUGCCUGUUCGAGCGUCAUUACAACCCUCAGGCCCCCGGGCCUGGCGUUGGGGAUCGGCGGAGCCCCCCGCGGGCACACGCCGUCCCCCAAAUACAGUGGCGGUCCCGCCGCAGCUUCCAUUGCGUAGUAGCUAACACCUCGCAACUGGAGAGCGGCGCGGCCACGCCGUAAAACCCCCAACUUCUGAACGUUGACCUCGAAUCAGGUAGGAAUACCCGCUGAACUUAAGCAUAUCAAUAAGCGGAGGAAAAGAAACCAACAGGGAUUGCCCUAGUAACGGCGAGUGAAGCGGCAACAGCUCAAAUUUGAAAUCUGGCUCUCGGGCCCGAGUUGUAAUUUGUAGAGGAUGCUUUUGGUGAGGUGCCUUCCGAGUUCCCUGGAACGGGACGCCACAGAGGGUGAGAGCCCCGUCUGGUUGGACACCGAUCCUCUGUAAAGCUCCUUCGACGAGUCGAGUAGUUUGGGAAUGCUGCUCUAAAUGGGAGGUAUAUGUCUUCUAAAGCUAAAUACCGGCCAGAGACCGAUAGCGCACAAGUAGAGUGAUCGAAAGAUGAAAAGAACUUUGAAAAGAGAGUUAAAAAGUACGUGAAAUUGUUGAAAGGGAAGCGCUUGUGACCAGACUUGGGCUUGGUUGAUCAUCCACGGUUCUCCCUGGUGCACUCUUCCGGCCCAGGCCAGCAUCAGUUCGCCCCGGGGGGAAAAGGCUUCGGGAAUGUGGCUCUUCUCCGGGGAGUGUUAUAGCCCGUUGCGUAAUACCCUGUGGCGGACUGAGGUUCGCGCAUCGCAAGGAUGUCUGACGAAG
rnacentral:rRNA from 1 species